AUGGGAGUUUCUAAGAAUGAUAGAAGAAAGCUACUUCCGCCAAAGGUCUAGGAUCAACUGGCUGAGAGAAGAAGAUCAAAACACUACUGAUAGACUAUGGAUUUUACCCAUUUUCAUCCAUAGUGUAUAUGUGUUUUUACUAAUAAUUAUUAUAUUCUAGAGUCUAUUUAUUAUAUUUAUAUGAUCAUGAGUGAUUUGGAGAUAAGUGAUGAUUUUGGAGCAUUUUGGAGAUAUUUGGAGCAAGCACCCAAGAUAACAUCGAGCUCGACCAUCGGUCGAUAUUGGAGAAGAAUA
rnacentral:lncRNA from 1 species